GUGCUCGCUUCAGCAGCACAUACAGUAAGAUUGGACCGAUACGAAGAAGGUUAGCAUGGCUUCUGAGCAAGGAUGACUCGUGAAUUUGUGAAGUGUUCCAUAUUUUU